CAUUCCACAGGCCCCAUCAACUACAGAUGUUGCACCAGCAGCUCGGAAAAAAGAUGGCCGCCGAACUAGCUGCAGAGUUCUGGAGGUUAUCUGAGGCAAGUUCUAAAUCUGCUUUUUAAACAGGCUCGACACCGAGCCAACCUUUGAAACUCCCUUUAUAAUAUAUCUUAACUCCUCCAGAGUUUUUUUAAGUAGUUUAAUAGUCCUUUUAGCUUGUUGCUUCUAAAAAAAAAGAGCUCCUUUGCUACCUUGUUACCUUGUUAUCUUGAUGUCCGGAGGGUUUUGCUCCCCGCGAUGCCGCCCCCUCAAGUCUGACCGACAAUAAGGAAAACGGGUGACAGCUGAUUUAUUGCCAACUCCGUGUUACGCUCUGAACUAUAAGCUAUCAAAUUACAAAUUACAAACAGCUAUCCCAAAUCUUGCCUCAUUUUGGACUUUAGCCCAUAGCUGGGUGGACAAAGAUUUACAAAUGGUACUUACUAGAAAGAAACGUAGGGACCUGGGGAUAGCGACAAGUCCAUUGUUCCAGGAGUGUUAUGAGAAACAGAGUAAAAUCACGCAAUACUUUUUACACACAAGGGACAACGAGAAUGGAAAUGGAAAUGGAAAUGAGCAAAAGAUGGCUGAGAUGGUUGAGUUGAAGCAGGAUGAGGCUCUUCUUUUUCCCUCUGCUGCUCAAGAUCACUCAACCUUCUCUAGAGGAAUACAGGACACGGAGAAUAACAACCAAAAUAGAAAUACAAUGAGCCUGGCCCAUGAAAUAGUCUUGGCUGAGAUAUUAUCUUCAGAGUUACAGGAAGAAACCCGAAACUCCCAGAAACCCCAGACUUCAUCUAUGGGCUCCCAGACGGAAAACAAUGACUGCUAUCCUCAGGACUGGCUGCUCUCUAUAAAUCUGGAUCUGGCAGCUAUGAAAAAAUACUUAACAAUAACAAAUGGGCUGCUCCUGACAUUAGUGGAAAAUUAUCCCCUCCAAGCUAAAGGCUCAGAACCUCUUGGUGUUGAUCCACAAACCACCCCUCAAGAGCCAGAAUAUAUAAAGCAACCAGCAACCAGCAAGUGCACACAAGGAUCAGCAGCGGAAAAUCACUUACACCAAGGAAAGGACAUAGGGCUGUAUGUAUCUGUCCCUAAAACUGAAUUUCCUAUCGAAGUAAAUCAAAAGAAGCGAGGCAUUAGUAAGAGAUCCCAUAAGAAGAAAGCUGAAACUAAAAAGAAAAGUAAGAACAUAAAAACUGCAAGGAAAUCUGUUACAAACCGACGUGCAUGCAAAGUAUGCUGGAAAAGACUAUAUAAGCUGAUUCCAACAAAAUCAAAAACAAACUCUAACAAACCUGCUAUACAUGGCAGCAGAGAGAACAACAGUGUGGAUCCAGGAAAAAAGAUCCAGCUGAAGUCUUUGAAAGAAACAUCAUUGCUGCCUAAUAAAACGAGUGAGGAAACGGAAUCACUACCCGGGUGCUCUAUGCUGAAACCCCAAGGAUCCAUAAAUAUUAAAGAAGACUCACCCCAUACUAUUGAUUAUGGCAGAUUUCAAGAUGAGCCAGUAGCAGGGCAAGACUUGCCCCAGGAUAAAGGAUGGAAACUGAUGCUGGCAGAUAGGAAGUUAGCUUUUCUUAACUACCCGAAGCCAAAGGGCUUCCUUACACAGGAAGAACGCUCGGUGCAUUUUGUGAAUAUUUUAGAUGAUAUGCUGCCAGGGAAAAUAAAAUUAAAUGACAUUACCUCAGUAGAUUUCAUAUUCUACAAUGGAUAUUCUCUGCGAGUGAUUGCCUCCUUCAAAGAUCAAAACUUGGCUAAAUAUAUAUAUAGAUCAAGACAUCUGCUGUCAAAGAAAAGGAUAACGGUAACAAGAUUUUUCGAAAACAGCACAUGUUUGAAAUUGUUCCCUGAUGAGUUUACGACAGCUGAGAUAAGAUUUACUUGUAAACCAAAGGAGGAGAGAGGACACUCAAAAGACAAACUGGAACAUACUGAGCAAGGGCCCUUGAAACUAAGACAGGAGAUGAGAUUGCCUAAUGAG
rnacentral:lncRNA from 1 species